rnacentral:rRNA from 1 species
GACGAACGCUGGCGGCGUGCUUAACACAUGCAAGUCGAACGGAAAGGCCCUGCUUUUGUGGGGUGCUCGAGUGGCGAACGGGUGAGUAACACGUGAGUAACCUGCCCUUGACUUUGGGAUAACUUCAGGAAACUGGGGCUAAUACCGGAUAGGAGCUCCUGCUGCAUGGUGGGGGUUGGAAAGUUUCGGCGGUUGGGGAUGGACUCGCGGCUUAUCAGCUUGUUGGUGGGGUAGUGGCUUACCAAGGCUUUGACGGGUAGCCGGCCUGAGAGGGUGACCGGCCACAUUGGGACUGAGAUACGGACCAGCCUCAUACGGGAGGCAGGAGUGGGGAAUAUUGCACAAUGGGCGGAAGCAUGAUGCAGCAACGCCGCGUGCGGGAUGACGGCCUUCGGGUUGUAAACCGCUUUCGCCUGUGACGAAGCGUGAGUGACGGUAAUGGGUAAAGAAGCACCGGCUAACUACGUG